rnacentral:rRNA from 1 species
UACGUAGGGCGCAAGCGUUGUCCGGAAUUAUUGGGCGUAAAGAGCUCGUAGGCGGUCUGUUACGUCUGCUGUGAAAACCCAGGGCUUAACCCUGGGCUUGCAGUGGAUACGGGCAGACUAGAGGCAGGUAGGGGAGAAUGGAAUUCCCGGUGUAGCGGUGAAAUGCGCAGAUAUCAGGAGGAACACCAAUGGCGAAGGCAGCUCGCUGGGACGGUACUGACGCUGAGACGCGAAAGCGUGGGGAGCAAACAGG